CGCGCGGACCGACAGACGGACGGACCGACGGGCAGGCAUGCGGGCGGCUCGACUCUAGACUCCGGCCGCAGCCAUGGAGCGGCGGUUGCGCGCGUUGGAGCGGUUGGCGCGGGGCGAGGCCGGCGGCGGCCCGGGGCUCGACGGCCUCCUGGAUCUGCUUCUGGGGCUGCACCAAGAGCUCAGCAGCGCCUCCCUGCGGCGGGAGCGCAACGUGGCGCAGUUCCUGAGCUGGGUCAGCCCCUUCAUAGCAAAGGUGAAAGAGCUGCAGCUGCAGAGAGAGGACUUUGAGAUCUUGAAGGUGAUCGGCCGAGGGGCCUUCGGGGAGGUCGCUGUGGUGAGGCAGAGGGACAGUGGCCAGAUUUUUGCCAUGAAAAUGCUGCACAAGUGGGAGAUGCUGAAGAGGGCCGAGACGGCCUGUUUCCGGGAGGAGCGGGACGUUCUGGUGAAGGGGGACAGCCGCUGGGUGACCGCUCUGCAUUACGCCUUCCAGGAUGAGGAGUACCUGUACCUGGUGAUGGACUACUACGCUGGAGGGGACCUCCUCACUCUGCUGAGCCGCUUUGAGGACCGUCUCCCGCCUGAGCUGGCCCAGUUCUACCUGGCCGAGAUGGUGCUGGCCAUCCACUCGCUGCAUCAGCUGGGCUACGUCCACAGGGACGUCAAGCCAGACAAUGUCCUGCUGGACAUGAAUGGGCACAUCCGCUUGGCCGACUUUGGCUCCUGCCUACGGCUCAACAACAGUGGCAUGGUGGAUUCGUCGGUGGCAGUGGGGACGCCCGACUACAUCUCCCCUGAGAUCCUGCAGGCCAUGGAGGAGGGCAGGGGCCACUACGGCCCACAGUGUGACUGGUGGUCCCUGGGGGUCUGUGCCUACGAGCUGCUCUUUGGGGAGACGCCCUUCUACGCGGAAUCCCUGGUGGAAACCUACGGCAAGAUCAUGAACCAUGAGGACCACCUGCAGUUCCCUCCAGAUGUGCCCGAUGUGCCGGCCAGUGCCCAAGACCUGAUCCGCCAGCUGCUGUGCCGCCAGGAGGAGCGUCUGGGCCACGGAGGGCUGGACGACUUCCGGAACCACCCCUUCUUCGAAGGCAUAGACUGGGAGCGGCUGGCGACUAGCACUGCCCCCUACAUCCCCGAGCUUCGCGGGCCCAUGGACACCUCCAACUUCGACGUGGAUGACGACACCCUCAACCAUCCGGGGACCCUGCCGCCACCCUCCCACGGGACCUUCUUAGGCCACCACCUGCCAUUUGUGGGUUUCACCUAUACCUCAGGCAGUCUGGGCCCUGAGAGCACUUCUGAGCAGUUGGCUGCCCUGGAGCGGAAGCUCCGCUGUUUGGAGCAGGAGAAGGUGGAGCUGAGCCGGAAGCUCCAAGAGGCUCUGCCAACCCCCUCAGACCCUCGGGAACUGGAGCAGCUACGGAAGGAAGUGCAGACUCUGCAGGACAGGCUGUCAGAGACGCUGAGGGACAGCAAGGUGGACGGACGCCCGGCUGGUAGCCCAGGCCAGGACAGUGACGUGCAGCAGGAGAGAGACCAGCUCCUCCAGGCCUUGCCCUCCCCACCGCCACCUGGACCCCAGGAGCUGGUCGAGGUGCGGGCGGGGCUGCGGGCGCAGGAGCAGGAGCUGUGCAGGGCCCAGGGGUGGCAGGAGGAGCUGCUCCGGAAGCUGCAGGAGGCCCAGGAGAGAGAGGUGGCCAUGGCCAGCGAGACCCAGGCCCUAAGCUCCCAGCUGGAGGAAGCCUGGGAUGCCCAGAGGGAGCUGCAGGCCCAGGUGGCCGCCCUGAGCCAGGAGGUGAUGCAGCUGCAGAGACGGCAGGAGCGAAGCCUGGAGAAGGAGCCUCCCCAGAUCAAGACCAUCCACACUGCCUCUGAGACCAACGGCACAGGAUUGCCUGAGGGCAGCAGGCCUCAGGAAGCACAGCUGAGGCAGGAGGUGGCUGCCCUGCGUGUGCAGCUGGAGCAGGCCCGCGGCCACGGGCCGCGUGGGAAGGAGGAGGCUCUGUGCCGGCUGCAGGAGGAGAACCAGCAGCUGAGCCGGGAGCAGCAGCGGCUGGUGGAGGAGCUGGAACGGGAGCAGCAGAGCAAGCAGAGACUGGAGGGCGCGCAGCGGGAGACGGAGAGCAACUGGGAGGCCCAGAUUGCCGACAUCCUCAGCUGGGUGAAUGAUGAGAAGGUGUCAAGAGGCUACCUGCAGGCGCUGGCCACCAAGAUGGCCGAGGAGCUGGAGUCCUUGCGGAACGUGGGCACCCAGACUCUCCCUGCCCGGCCGCUGGAUCACCAGUGGAAGGCACGGCGGCUGCAGAAGAUGGAGGCGUCGGCCAGGCUGGAGCUGCAGUCAGCACUGGAGGCCGAGAUACGGGCCAAGCAGGGCCUGCAGGAGCGGCUGACGCAGGUGCAGGAGGCCCAGCUGCGGGCUGAGAGCCGUCUGCAGGAGGUCGAGAGGCACAACCAGGGCCUGCAGCAGGAGCUGGCUACCCUCCGGGAGGAGCUGCGGGCCCAUGGGCCAGGGGACACCAAGCCCUCAAACUCCCUGAUUCCCUUCCUGUCCUUCCGGAGCUCAGAGAAGGAUUCCACCAAGGACCCCGGUGUCUCGGGAGAGGCCCUGAAGCCUGGGCUGGAGCCCGAGCUGAGGCCAGAGGGCCGCCGCAGCCUGCGCCUGGGGGGUGUGUUCCCCAGAACGCCUGCUGCUACCACACCCCCUGCAGAAGGUCCUCCUGCAAAGCCUGGCUCACACACGCUGCGCCCCCGGAGCUUCCCAUCCCCCACCAAGUGUCUCCGCUGCACCUCGCUGAUGCUGGGCCUGGGCCGCCAGGGCCUGGGCUGUGACGCUUGCGGCUACUUCUGUCACUCGACUUGUGCCCCACAGGCCCCACCCUGCCCCGUGCCCCCUGACCUCCUCCACACGGCCCUGGGAGUGCACCCUGAAACGGGCACGGGCACCGCCUACGAGGGCUUCUUGUCGGUGCCACGGCCCUCGGGCGUCCGGCGGGGCUGGCAGCGAGUGUUUGCCGCCCUCAGUGACUCGCGCCUGCUGCUGUUUGAUGCCCCAGACCCGAGGCUCAGCCCGGCCAGCGGGGCCCUCCUGCAGGCACUGGAUCUGAGGGACCCCCAGUUCUCGGCCACGCCUGUCCUGGCCUUGGAUGUUAUCCACGCCCAAUCCAGGGACCUGCCCCGCAUCUUUAGGGUGACGGCCUCCCAGCUGACGGUGCCGCCCGCCACGUGCACCGUGCUGCUGUUGGCGGAGAGCGAGGGUGAGCGGGAACGCUGGCUGCAGGUGCUGGGCGAGCUGCAGCAGCUGCUGCUGGACGCACGGCCCAGGCCCCGGCCGGUGUACACGCUCAAGGAGGCCUACGACAACGGGCUGCCGCUGCUGUCCCACGCGCUCUGUGCCGCCAUCAUCGACCAGAAACGGCUUGCUCUGGGCACUGAGGAGGGACUGUUUGUGAUCCACCUGCACAGCAACGACAUCUUCCAGGUGGGUGAGUGCCGGCGGGUGCAGCGGCUGGCCGUGAGCCCCACCGCGGGCCUUCUGGUCGUGCUGUGCGGCCGCGGCCCCAGCGUGCGCCUCUUUGCCCUGGCCGAGCUGGAGAACAUGGAGGCAUCAGGAGCCAAGAUCCCCGAGUCCCGAGGCUGCCAGGCCCUGGCAGCCGGGCGCAUCCUGCAGGCCCGCACCCCCGUGCUCUGUGUCGCAGUCAAGCGCCAGGUGCUCUGCUACCAACUGGGUCCAGGCCCGGGGCCCUGGCAGCGCCGCAUCCGCGAGCUGCAGGCACCAGCACCUGUGCAGAGCCUGGGGCUGCUGGGUGACCGGCUGUGCGUGGGCGCGGCUGGCGCCUUCACCCUCUACCCGCUGCUCAACGAGGCUGCGCCCUUAGCCCUGGGAGCCGGUCUGGUGCCUGAGGAGCUGCCCCCAUCCCGCGGGGGCCUGGGUGAGGCCCUGGGCGCCGUGGAGCUCAGUCUCAGUGAGUUCCUGCUGCUCUUCACCACCGCCGGGGUCUAUGUGGACAGCGCCGGCCGCAAGUCUCGCAUCCAAGAGCUGCUGUGGCCAGCAGUGCCCACGGGUUGGGGUUACGCAGCCCCCUACCUGACAGUGCUGAGCGAGAACGCCAUCGAUGUGUUUGAUGUGAGGAAAGCAGAAUGGGUCCAGACGGUGCCACUCAAGAAGGUGCGACCCCUGAACCCAGAGGGCUCCCUGUUCCUCUUUGGCACCGAGAAGGUCCGCCUGACCUACCUCAGGAACCUGCUGGCAGAUAAGGACGAGUUCGACAUCCCCAACCUCACCGACAACAGCCGGCGCCAGCUGUUCCGCACCAAGAGCAAGCGCCGCUUCUUCUUCCGCGUGUCGGAGGAGCAGCUGCAGCAGCAGCGCAGGGAGAUGCUGAAGGACCCUUUUGUGCGCUCCAAGCUCAUCUCCACGCCCACCAACUUCAACCACCUGGUGCACGUGGGCCCUGCAGACGGAAGGCCCAGUGCCAGGGACCUGCCCCCAGCUCCGGAAGAGAAGGGCCAAGGUGCCCGCAGCUCUGGCCUGCAGCGGCCCCACAGCUUCUCCGAGGCCCCGCGGCGCCCAGCUUCCAUGGUCAGUGACGGCCUCGCUGGAGACGCGGACCACAGGCCAGGCCAUCUUCAAGGCUCUGCACCACUGUCAUCUUCUCCAGAGACCACUUGGCUGCCUGGUCACGUGGUCACUGCCGCCCUCCUCCCUCCACCUCCUAACUGUUGAUCCUGCUGUGCUGUGAUUUUCGUCUGGGUUCCUUGAUUGUGGGGGUCAAGUUUGUCUUCUGCUUGGAGUAAAGCCUACUCGUUGAUUGAAUGUAGAAUGGAGUGAAUGAACAAAGGGGCUUUGGUUUGGGCUCCAGAGUUCAGUAGGAUUUCCUCAGGCUCUUCUCACGUACCCCUACCCCACCUCUCAUCUGACCUCUUCCGAUGGCCCUGCUGCAGCAAGGGAUGUGUCCUGGGGAAGCCUCUGGGAGGCACUGACCUGGUCUCAGAACGGCCCCGGAGCCUCCCCCUGGCCCCUGAAUCUGAGAGCUCCCCUUGACACCCUCCGGCGGGGCCCAACCCCCAAUCCCAGGACCGAGAGAUGCGAGAGAGCAAAGAGCUUGAGGAACGCCAUAUUCCGGCCGGUCCGGAACGUGUGGAAAUUCGGACUCAGGGCAGGCCUGGCCUGGGCAGCCAUGGCCUGGGUUGCUAGGACAGGGCCGGGGCGGAUCUGACUCCCAGCCCUCAUCCCGCCCUUCACUCUGCUCCCAGCCCCAGCCUGUGCUAGCCAUGGGGGAUAGGAUGGCCCCCUUCUGCCCUGGGGGCCCCUCUGCGCCAGUGUCCAGGGGUGAUUUUGCCAAAGCUGUCACUUCCAGGGCCAGGCCCCCGGAGUCUUGUGAUCAAGAGUCCAGAAGAGGGACAGAGAGGGGCCGGGUUCCUGGGAGCAGUCUGGGGUCGUGGCUGUGGACUGUCUAGCCCCCAAGGAGGUUGAGUUGGGGCAUAUCCCAGUCUCUGCUCAGGGUCAGGGCAGGAAAGACAGGCUCUAAUCCAGAGGAAGAGGUAGAGAAGGAGGGAGAGGAUGUUGGUGAAGGAGGUGAGAGAGGCAAGGGGGAGGAAAGGAAGUGCAAGAGGAGGGGAGAGUGAUUGGAAGGAGGUGAAAGCCAUCCAGAGGAGAAGGACAGAAGGAUAAAGGAGGAGCGAUGGAGAAGAGAGAGGCCAGAGGAGGGGGUGGAGAGAGAGGGAGCUGGGAGAGCACAGGCACAGGCGCCUUCUGUCUGGGGGGAGUCGGUGGGGGUGGGAAGAGGGAGGGGCUCUGCGAGCCAACUGACAUUGUCAUCUAAUUUGUCCAGGAGGAAGAUAACUCCGAGCCAGGGAUGGGAUGGGGGGGUAUUUAUAAGGGCUGCUUGGUGGGAGAUGGGCACCCUACGGGUUUCCAGGCACACUCUGGCCCUUCGCAGAAAGGCGGGGGUUCAUUUUUCUCAAAGCUUCAACCACCUGUGUAUUAGGGGAUCAUAGGGGCAUUUUAUUAUUGAUCACAGUCAUUAUUAUUGUUAUUAUAUUACUAUUUUUAUUAAACCUCCCCCUACUGAUGAGUAGGGAGCAAAAUAAAUAUUUAUCUCCUCAAAUGCCAUAUUCCCGGGAGGGAUAGACCCUGACACUCUGUGAGGCAGUAAGAAACCAAUAAAGACAACUUUGUAAGCUG